rnacentral:tRNA from 1 species
AAUGAAAUGGCUGAGUAAUAGGUAUUAGAAUGUAAAUCUAAGCACGAGAAGUAACCUCUUUCAUUA